CAUAUACUUUGAGAACUUGAUUUAAAAACACUAUUGAUCAAAUCAUUAUUUUGAUAAAAAUCUGUCCUUUUAAGAAGUGUUUGUUUUUCAUUUAAUGAUGCACUAUUUAUCACCUUUGUACAGUUAGUAUAUUUUAUAAAUAAUUUAAGGAUACUGUGAAACAGUAUUAUUUAUGUGUAGGUCAAAGCACAGAUUAAUGACGUGAGCUACCUGAAUGACUUAGUCAUCUGCAAGUGCUUCCGAGGAUGGUGAUGUCUUUACUCUAGAAUUCCACGUUGCAAGUAGAACCACUUGGCUGAGGUAUAAAGGUGGGACCGUGGUGUAAAUGUCAAUAUGAAGCCUGUUUGUGUAUGGUGUAGUAAUAUAGGCUUACCUUGUCUAGUACUGCUCUAGAGUUAUGGAUAUAUUACAGUGCUGUGCAUCUUAGAAAUAUGUUUUGUGUUAAAAGACAAAUAUGUUUUGUGUUAAAAGUGAGUAUAUACGCUGAGCCUAUGAUCAUUCUUAUUGUACCUGAAUUUAUAAUUACUAUAUAUAUAUAUGUAUAUAUGUAAUUAUUUUAUUUCUCUUUCUCUUCUACUAGACUGCAAGCUAAACAAGAGCCAGGGUUAUCUGUUUUAUCUGGAGAGCUUAGAAUAAUGUCUUCCACUUGACAGACACUCAAUAUCUAUUCAGUGUAUGGAGGAGUGAAUAUGAAAGGCACAGUCCUUUAUACUCAAAAAUUACUCAUAUCAUGGUGUUUCUUGUUUCUUUGUGUUUUCUUCUUGUUGCAGAUUGUGUUAGCUUGUUGAAAAUAUGGGAUGCAAUUCUUUUGUGUGAAAGAUAAAUGGAACUUUAAAAAAGCCACUGUGAACUACUUAGAGGAGAAAUUAAAAAACUGGAAAAUAAGUUUGACCUUAAAGCAAGAAGAAGAGAAUAGAAGAAAUGCUGAUAUGUUAUAUGAAAAAAUUAGGGAGCAAUUAAGAAGAAAGGAAGACCAAUAUGGUAAAGAAGUUGAAAUGAACAGCAACUAG
rnacentral:lncRNA from 1 species